UGGAAGUAAAAGUCGUAACAAGGUCUCCGUUGGUGAACCAGCGGAGGGAUCAUUACAGAGUUGCAAAACUCCAAACCAUUGUGAACUUACCUUUGCCGUUGCUUCGGCGGGCGGCCCGGGCCCUGUGCCCGGCGCCCCUCGGCCCCACUCGGGGCGCCCGCCGGAGGUAAACCAAACUCUUGAAUUGUAUGGCCUCUCUGAGUCUUCUGUACUGAAUAAGUCAAAACUUUCAACAACGGAUCUCUUGGUUCUGGCAUCGAUGAAGAACGCAGCGAAAUGCGAUAAGUAAUGUGAAUUGCAGAAUUCAGUGAAUCAUCGAAUCUUUGAACGCACAUUGCGCCCGCCAGUAUUCUGGCGGGCAUGCCUGUUCGAGCGUCAUUUCAACCAUCAAGCCCCGGGCUUGUGUUGGGGACCUGCGGCUGCCGCAGGCCCUGAAAACCAGUGGCGGGCUCGCUAGUCACUCCGAGCGUAGUAGUUUACACCUCGCUCAGGGCGUGCUGCGGGUUCCGGCCGUUAAAAGCCUUAUUUUACCCAAGGUUGACCUCGGAUCAGGUAGGAAGACCCGCUGAACUUAAGCWUAUCAAUAAGCGGAGG
rnacentral:rRNA from 1 species